GAUAAAGUUGUGCUUGCAUAAAAGUGCAGCUGACUAAUUGAUGUUUGCCUUUUUGCAGAUGGAUAACUCUACUUAGGAUAGAAGUUCAACAAUUAGGACAUUUAGACAAAAUCCUUAUACCAUUUUCCAUGAUAUAGCAAGGGCUGGCUGUGGCUACCUAACAAUAAAAUCAAGCUAAUGCCACUUGUGCCUUGCAAUAUCCUCAUGUGUAUGCUGCAUUAUUUUCAACAUGUUACCAUUGUUAGUGAAUUUAAAGGGGAAGAUCUGGCAUGACCUUCAAAGGUAGUUUGCAGGUGUUUAUCUCUGUUAGUAAGAGGAAAAGAACCACUGUGUGGAUGAAUCCAGUUUAAAAUUUAGGGAGCUCACACUUGUGAAUGCCUUGAGGAAGGAAAAAAAUUACAUGAAUAUUAAAAAAAAAAAAAAAAAAUUCUGAACCUUGUACUAAGGUAGGUGGUAAAUAUGGUAUUCACUGCUCUGCUGAAUUAAUAGUUUGUCAUCAGUGUAUGCCAGCUUUUUUUCUCAAUAAUUAUUGGUUAAUUAAUGGAAGGCCAAUGUAUGCUGUUAUGUUAUUAUUUGUGUGAGAAAUGCAAGAUUUAUAUUAAGCAUUAAUACAUAUCUGAACUAGUCUUGAGACUUUUGUAUGUGUAGUUGCUUUUUGAAAACAAUUGCGUUAGCUUUGAUUAAUCCAUUGAAGUGCCAUUUAUCAUUAAAGCUAUAUUGAUGUAUUCUGUAUUUAAAAAAAAUUGAAAUAGAUAAAUUAUUAAUUUUAAGCUGAAUAUAUAUUGAUUUUUUUAUAGCAUGCACAUUUUCAUGUCACAUUCGCUUGAAUCCAGAACGCGUGCCAAUAAGUAGAUUGCGUGGUACUUUAAAGAAUAAGCAUUUUUCAUGGAUUACAUUUAGAAGGUUAAAGUCGGAACCUUGGAAGAGGAUGAUACCUUUGAAGACAGUGGAAAAUCCAUCAUAUGGGUUGCAAGUCUACAUUUAUCAGAAGUGAUUUCAGAGUAGAGAAGUGACAUUUUCAUGAUGCAGAUGAAUUAUCUCUCACAAGACUUUAUUGCUGUUAUUUCUCUGGUACAUUCUUCAUAUUUUGUCGGAUUAAACAGUCAUUCCUUGUGCAUUAAUGUAACAAAACCAAGAUGCCAAUGUCAAAAUAACAGCUGAUUAGAUUUUCCAUUUCAUCAUAUUUUAGUGAACUUCUGUGACUAAAUGGUUUAGAAAAUCAUUGUAAUUGUAAUAAAUGUUCUAAAAAUUUGUAUAAGUAAUCCUUGUACUAUAUAUACAUUUUUCUCAUGUUAUUCAUAUUUUCUAGCUUGUGAUUGUGAGAAUUAUUUGUCAAUAUAAAUAAAGUAAUUCUUUAUUGUUUA